UGGGGAAUAUUGGGCAAUGGACGCAAGUCUGAACCAGCCAAGUCGCGUGAGGGAAUAAGGCCCUAUGGGUCGUAAACCUCUUUUGUCAGGGAGCAAUGAGGUCCACGCGUGGACUGACGAGAGUACCUGAAGAAAAAGCAUCGGCUAACUCCGUGCCAGCAGCCGCGGUAAUACGGAGGAUGCGAGCGUUAUCCGGAUUUAUUGGGUUUAAAGGGUGCGCAGGCGGCGUGCCAAGUCAGCGGUAAAAAUGCGGUGCUCAACGCCGUAUAGCCGUUGAAACUUACAUGCUAGAGUGAGCGAGAAGUAUGCGGAAUGCGUGGUGUAGCGGUGAAAUGCAUAGAUAUCACGCAGAACCCCGAUUGCGAAGGCAGCAUACCGGCGCUCAACUGACGCUCAGGCACGAAAGUGCGGGGAUCAAACAGGAUUAGAUACU
rnacentral:rRNA from 1 species